UACGUAGGGGGCAAGCGUUGUCCGGAAUUAUUGGGCGUAAAGCGCGCGCAGGCGGUUUCUUAAGUCUGGUGUGAAAGCCCGCAGCUCAACUGCGGAGGGCCACUGGAAACUGGGAAGCUUGAGUGUAGGAGAGGAGAGCGGAAUUCCACGUGUAGCGGUGAAAUGCGUAGAUAUGUGGAGGAACACCCGUGGCGAAAGCGGCUCUCUGGCCUAUAACUGACGCUGAGGCGCGAAAGCGUGGGGAGCAAACAGGAUUAGAUACCCUGGUAGUCCACGCCGUAAACGAUGAGUGCUAGGUGUUGGGGGUUCCAAUCCUCAGUGCCGCAGCUAACGCAAUAAGCACUCCGCCUGGGGAGUACGGCCGCAAGGCUGAA
rnacentral:rRNA from 1 species